GUUUGAAAUUCAGUCCGCACUCCUUUGUUCCACCCCUCGACCCCGGCUGCAUCUGGCGACGCCGCCACCUCGCCGCCAGCCCGCGUCAUCCGCCGCCCCUUGCCGGCACGCGCUCUCCCCGUCCGCCUCCGGCCUCCAUCAUCUCCGCACCGGCGACCUCCCCUUGCCUCCUCCUCCUUCCCUUCUCUUCCACCUAGAUUGAGAAGGGAAGCCAUGGCGCUCCCGCAGCGGCUAGAUCCAGACCAGCACGACCCUUCCUGUCAAUCCCAUCUCCACUCCAGCGCGCCGCCACCUCUGUCCCCACCCCGCCGGCGCGCCGCCAGCCCGCCUCCCGUCACCGCACGCUGCUGCCCCUCCCUCGCCGCGCGCUGCCGGAGUGCCUACCCCUGCCCCAAGUUACCCCAGCAACAGCCGCCACCGCCAGCAGCAGCAGCAGCAGCCGGAGAUCCCAUCUUGGGGCCGGCGCUGGUCGAGGAAGGCCCGAGUGGCGCCGCCGGCCGAGAAGCCCGCGCCAGAUGACGAUAGGAGCGAGGGCGUCGCCAGCCCGGACACCCCCGAGGACGACGAGCACGACGAGGCAGUAGCGACGGAGGACGAGGCCAAAGCCAGCGCGCAGGACAAGUGGGCGCAGGAGCAGCGCGGCGUGGUUGCGAGCUUGUCCCACGAGAACGCCCAUCUCCUAAAGGCAAUCUUCUUGACAAAGCUGAGGAUAGUGAAUGGCGGGGAUGAUGGUGCUGGAGAGCCGCCCCCUAUUGGCGUGAUAGCGCACGCUGGACUGUGGGACCUUAGCCAUGCUGAGUUCAACAAUAGAGUUCGGGUAAUUCAUAGAGAGGAGGAGGAUGGAGAAGGCUGCUAGAGCCUGAUAUAUUCGUUGUGACUUGGGCCUGACCAUUUGGAGAGGUAUAUGUUGAACUGGUGAGGUACAGAUUUCCAUCUGUCAUCUUUUCGUCAGCAUUUUAUUUAUCUUGUGGUUUCUGCAGUCACACAAAAAUUUGGGUACAAUUGAAAUAUAGGAUUAUAUGUAUAAUACUAUUGAAAUUAGAAGAGAUGCAUAUGAAUGUAUUAGAAGCUAGAGUAGGUGCAACAACCAAAACAAACAAGGCGAGGACGCUAGGAACUACACCCAGCUCUCACAGCCACAUAGCUAGCACAAGACCUUAAAGCAAAGUGCCACCAUGAUUCAUACAUGUUCCAGGAGAAACUAGAAUAUGAGCUACAAAUGUAGUGCAUCAGCAACAUUGUCUGUUACUCUGCUUCAUGUACAGUGCCAUUGCACAUUCAGUUAGGUACAUCCAGGACCUUGCAACAUUCAGUCAAGCUAACAGUCGAGCUUUCAGGCUCGCGUAAUCGGGCCGGCCCAUAACCAGGAAACGAGCACGUAAAAAUGGCACGAAAAACAAAACCGCACGCGAUGGGUUCGAUCUCGCGAACUCAAGCUAGGUAGCAGCGACGCCAACCACAUGAGCUAGCUGCCGACUACUCAAAUUGCAGCGCCCCAGUUAAAGUAGUUUAGCGACAGGUCUGUUUAUUUUUCUUAAAUAUUUUCAACAAUUCUUGGAAACAAGUGUGGAUGAUUUUCCUUCAAAUAUUUGAAUACAUUUUUAAAAUCAUGAAUAAAUAUCAAAAAUUCAAACAAAAUUUUGCAACCUUAACAAAUUUUGAAAUUCCAAAUGUUUAUUUUAAGAUUGCCAUGGGCGGUCCUCACUUGUAGCUCGAUGAGAUUAGUUUUUUAUAUGUUUUAUAUGAACAUUCCCUUGCAUGGGUGUGGUUCGGGCAGUAUCGUGGAUGAGCUCGUCUCGACCAUGUCAGGAUACAUGGAUGAUCAGGUGGUGUGGAUGAUCAGGUGGUGAACGGCCGACUUGGGUUCGGGUGUCAUGUCAAAAUAGAAGGCACAUCCAUGUGCAUGUAUGUGUGUGAGAGAGAAGAGGGGUCUUUAGACAUCACAGAAGCCGGACAUGCGAUAUUUUUCUUUUCCCGUUGCAAUGCACGGGCAUUUUUGCUAGUAUAUAUAUAUAUAUACAUAUAUAUGAUGUUAGCUGACUGUGAGUUGCACAGAAGAGCGGCCGUUUUAGUGCCGGGGACAACUAUGCUUGUAUACCGUGAGGCCCACAAAGUCACACAUGUCUCUCAAACAAAGUCACACAUGAAUUAACAAGUUUAGCUAAGGGUUCUACUCCCAACACUUGGCUAAAUGACCCUGCCUCUGUAUUGUUACUCUCACAUAGGCACUAAAUAAAAGUUGACAUUGCUCUCACAUUAGCUCUGCUGGGUAUGACAUGCUUUCAGAAUAAAAUAUUCUUCUAACAUGUAGUCAUACAUGGUGUGGAAGUUGUCGCAAUUAGGGCAUCUCCAACAACAACGCACAAAAAAUCUCCAGCAUCCGUCCAAAACAAGGGGACCAGUCCACGGACACGGAUGCGGGAGAUCGACAUCCAAAUGUAGCUGCAUACAUUCGGCCUUCCGGAUUAUUUUUCCAGUCCGCAUACUCAAGUAGCCCCAUGCAAAAGGCAUAGAAGUUCAAAUAGUCGCAUGCAUCACUAAUUUAAAUUUUGAAGAGUUCAAAUAUACAUCCCAACAUUGUUGUCCCCUUUCACCGCCCGCUGAUGUUCAAUCAGAUCUUUCUUGAGCUGAUCGUGAGUUGGUCGAUGCCGAAUUUGUUGAUGCAUUUGAAGAAACACCUAAAAUGUGGCCGGAUUCUGGUCCGUAAGUUGGAUAGGAUCACCCAUGUUAUCAAAUUUCAGAGAUGCGGCAGCAUCGUCACCCUCAUCCUCGACGAUCAUGUUGUGCAUGAUUACACAACAUGCCAUCACCUCCCACAAGGUCUCCGGAUCCCAUUAUUUUGCAGGUCCACGAGCAACUGCAAAAUUGGCCUGAAGAACUCCAAAUGCCCUCUCGCCAUCCUUUCUAGCUGCUUCUUGUGUUUAGGCAAAGUGAGCCUUUUUCUGGCCAAUUGGGUUUGAGAUGGUGCUGACAAAGAUAGCCCAUGGAGGAUAGAUACCGUCAACCAGAUAGUAGCCCAUGUUGUAUUCAUGUCCAUUGAUAGUAUAGUGGAAAGGAGGAGCUUUUCCUCCAAUCAGUGUCGCAAACAACGGCAAUUGUUGCAACACAUUGAUGUCAUUGUGAGACCUAGGCAUGCCAAAGAAAGCAUGCAAAAUGCAAAGAUCAUGUGAUGCAACUGCUUCAACAUGAUGGUGGGUUUUUCGACAUGACCCUGAUAUUGCCCUUGUAAAGCCUUCGGGCAAUUCUUCCAUUUCCGAUGCAUGCAGUCAAGAGAUCCAAGCAAACCUAGCCACUCUCUUGCUUCUGAGAUUACCAGGAGCCUCUCGGUGUCUAGCACAAUUGGUUCUCUCAGGUACUGAGAUCCGGACACCUCGAGCAUGGCAGUUGCAAACCUGACCAUGGCAUCUCCGCAUGUGCUCUCAGACAUCCAUAGGUACUAGUGACCAGGGGUGCGGCCGUGCACUUCUGGUGACCAGAGAAGCUAAUCGUUACCACGGUGUCCUUCUUCAGGAUGAAGUAGUCAUCGUAGGACCGGGCACCAUGGUACAAACAAUCGAAGACAUUCUUGCGUGUCCAAAAAUGUCGAUGAAAAUGGUCAGAGAAUAGUGCAUCAGGGGCAAAGUAGUCGGCCAUUAGUGUCAAAUGUUGCGUGCCCUAUUGCGGCUGAGAACUCGAUGACCCUUGAUCGAGCCCUUGAAAUUGAGAACAUGCUCCUCCGCACGCUCCGCGUCAUUAAGGACCGCCUGCAUCAUUGCCAUCUCAUCGGAGUACUCCUCCUCAUCUGACGAGCCAUCGAAGGACUCAACAUAUUGCUCGUAUAUGUACUCCAAAUCAGAAUCCAUUGCUACAUACAAGAAGGGACAACUAUUUUCAGCUCCGGUGAUUCAUCGAACAGUAGUCGGGCAUGGUAGAGGAUGGUAUCUGGUGGGUUAGAGGACAGGGGGUUGAACGGAGACGGGGGAGAAGCGGAGGGGAGCCUUGCUGGAUCGCCGGAGGUGACGGAGACACGGAUUUCUGGCAGGGGUAUGGCGUGGUGGCCGGGGUGGUGGAGCGGCGGCGACGGCAAGAGAGAAAAGAUGGAAGGAAAGAAAAUGGGGAGGAUGGAGUCCCGCGUUCCGGGAAGGGUUUUGGGUGGGCAUGGGGUGUUAGAUUCGUAUGUUUUGUGUGUCCAGACUCCCACAAACCUCCCCCCACUCUUGUCUCCAUUUUGCGGGAGAAAUCGCAUCCGAACAGCCCCGCGGACUGAUAUAGGACCGCGUUGGAUGGCUUUCGCGGUUCGGAUAGCGCAGUUUGGACGAUUGCAGGAGGUUUACGGGUCUGCCUUGGAGAUGCCCUUACCCCGUGCUACUGGCCACGCUGGUCACGGCCUUCUGGGCAUCAUUUUUCUUAACCAAGCUAACCUCUUUCCAUUGCAUUGAAUGGAAAUACAUCGGUUUUAGGAACAUUCAGGAGGAGGGGAAAGAGAUGUAGUGAGUGCGCCAGGAAACCCACUACAUUCGCUAUCCAUCGAAACGCAUGCUAUGGGAUGAGAACCUAACAACACCAAAAUAAACAAGUCUUGAUACAUGCCCACAGAGAAGGGGCCUAUCACCAGCAUAACAGGGAGAAAAUUAACAACAAGUACUACGGCAGGCAAACAACAACAACAACAACAAUAACAAAAGAACAAAGCCAGGAAGAUCAACUUCCUGGGUGCCCUAAGACAGCUCCAGGAACACCCGCAUGAGGACAAGCCUAUGCUCCCUUAAUUGGUUGCCUGAAACAGCACAAAGCCUCAUCAAGUUCAUGGUACUCGACCUGAUCAUCUCGGUGCCAGAGCGUAGCACCUUUGCAUCUCCCUCAUGUUGCAGACCUGCCCCAUAUAAAAGAAAGGAACAUGCAGAGAAAACAAUUUCAAAAGGCAUCUUAGUCAUCUUUUUCUCAAAGGUAGCUCUGUUGUGGGCUAGCCAUAUGGCCCAGGUCACGGCGGCUAAGCCAACCAUAAGAAACUUAAGUCCACCAGGGAGAAACUUGCAGCUCCAAAUAUAAUAUUGCCAAUAGUUAUUAGGGCAUAACUCAGUCCUUUACACAAACCUAACCAAUCGCCAGAUCACUUGUGCCACCGGACAAAUGAAAAAUAGGUGUGUGGCAGUCUCGGGUUCGUUGCGAAAAGAGCAUGAUGGAUUACCAUGUCAUUUCCUACUUUUUAGAACUUGACGAGUAAGGACAACAUUCUGGGCCAACUGCCACAUGAAAAUUUGGAUUUUGAGAGGAAGUUUAGCCUUCCUAAUCCAUUUAUAACUGCAACCACUCAAAGGCUUCUCUAGCCAUUUGUACAUAGAUUUUGUCGAGAACUUAUCAUUUUUAUUUGGACCCCAAUAAACCACAUCAUUAUCAGUCGUGAGACGAAUACCAGAGAUAUGUUCACACAUCUCUCACCAUUAUCCAGUCCGAAACAAGAAGGUGCAUCAACUGCAUUGAACCUGUCUACAGUACAAUCCUGAUCAGUGCAUAUGUCGAAUAGUUGGGGGAGCUACAUGUUGAAUGGGAUCAGCCCACUAAUCAAGCCCUUCCAAACUCUAGUUAGAUUACCAGAUUCAGUUUUGAUUUUUCAACCAACGAUGCGUAGCUCUGCUUCUGGGCGUCACUUGUUAGGGCUCAAUACACCUCGAUCUGCCUGCAACGUGAGUGACGUGGUUUGCCUCGCCUGUCAUUGGGUGCUGAUCUAAUCGAUCAAUCGGGAGGAUCGUGAUAUACGGGCAGCACGGCAGACAUGGGUUGAGGGAAAGAUUGUGUGGCAUCAUGGACGGGAUGGGAGGAUCGUGGUGGAGAAGAUUCAUAGGUAGGAGAGAUGCCGAUCCAAUAGAUCGAUGGGUAGGACCGUGGUGUACAUGUGACGCAGUGGACGAGCGUUCAGGGCAAGAUCGUGAGGCGCCGUGGUCGGGAUGGGUGGAUUGUGGCGGAGGCUGAGGUCCCGUGCAACAGCCACCAUGCAAUAAUGGAGCAUAGGAUCAUUCAUGGGGUCUAGGACAAGGACUAUUGGUGCGGUCGAACUGUUUUUAGUCUGGCUAUUACAUGGGCGUAUGCGGUUAAGUGUGGGAGGCCGAGCGGUUUUCAAAUAGGAAGACCAAGUGUCAGAGAUAGGGGAGCACUGCGUGGGGGCGGGGGAGAAAGACGCGGGGAGAGGGUUUGAAAAAUGUUGAGAUGGACGAGGACGGUAGGUCCUUUUUAGGUAGGAAGAGAUAAGAGUAUCUCUGGCCGAUCACUUAUAGUUUAGAGAGGUAUACGGACUCGUAUCCUUUAAGUACUCAAAUCUUCUUCUCUCAAAAUUAGCGGUUUCUAGCCGAUCCCUUAAACUUAAAUCCUUAAAAAAAUUGAACACAAAUUCGCUACAAAUUUCAUUCAAACUAGUCUGUCAAACUCAGUCCGAACUUGAUUCAACCACUAUUGUAAACAAUAUUCACAUAACUUUAAACAAAAUCUAAACUAAGGUUGCACUAGAACUAAACAAACUAGUCGCCAUCGGUGACUUGGCCAUGUUCCCCUCCCAUUCCUCAUCGUUGACGAGGUCGUUGCCACUCGCCCGCUCCAUCCUCACCACCAUUGUUCACUCUAUCCCCGGCAGACCCGAGCCGUUGUCGUUGCUGGAGCAAAGAUCGAUGACCAUCAUCGUCCACAACUUGUUGUGCUCGUACUAUCAGGGUUCCUCCUUGACGCGCUCUUGGUACAGGUGGUGGAACUCUGCCAUGUACCCUUCGUCAGCGCGCUCUGCCUCGAGGUUCUCGUAGGCCUCCUAGUCUUCCCGCAGCUCGUGUAUGGAGGCCACACGAGGGUUGACGGGGGCCAAAUUCGGUAAGGCAGGGGUGCCAAAGGGGAAGUGAUGGCUCUAUAUUUUACGCAUGUUUAGAGCUUAUUUCUUGCAUGUUCUCUACAUAUAUCUUGUCAUAUUGAACCAAAUAGUUGUCCAUUAUGCAUGAUUACCACUUUUUACAAUUUUCACUAUGAGCAUUGAAUAUCCUGGUUUUAUUUAGCUUUGAUUAGUUUUCUUUGUUUUGUUGUGUCUACAUGUGUUUUGGAGCAACUUAGGACCAAGCACGAUGAAAGGACCAAGGAUGGGUUCAGUAAGGAGGACUUCUAGUACCAGACUUAUGCAUUUCGAAGAGUGGAAAAUUUGAUUUCCCAAAGUGCUCCAAAUCAAAAUCUAACACCACCAGCGCGUCGGUGUCGCUCUCCCGAAUCCAACUAGCCCAAGAACGUCCAAAUCAUAGUCCGUAUGAAGAAAUGAUGACCAAAAUAUCCAAGGCGUAAAGAACGCAAUACGUCGUCUCGUAUGAUCACACGCGGUCGUACCAAGUUCAAACAGCUCCGAAAGUUGCCCUUUUAGACGUGAUUUUUCACCAAUUUCGUCCCUACUUGUUCCCACGUGGUCCUUAGAUAAUAAGAAAGUGUUUAGGAGAGGAUAAGGUUCAUCUUGAGCCCUUGGAUGAUCACAUCAAUGCAGGAAUAAACCGAGAGACCUCUAUAUAUGCACCUCCAACCCUAGGCGCGUCCAUCUCUCUCCAUCAUCCAUCAACAAGCUGCCAUCAUCCAUCUCCACUAUUGCGCCAAGACCAUCUCCACAGAGAGAAGAAGGGCCAAGCUAAGAGGAGGAAGGGGAGGCACAUGCCGGUGUCGUCUCCAUUACUGGUGCCGCCACCAUCGCCAUCUCCAUCAUCGGUGCCAUGCUCCUCUCCGACAUUGGCUCCACGCUGGCUUGUAAUUUCCCUCUUCCCUCUAUUUUGUUUGAGUUGCUGCAUUAGUUCUUGAGAAUUUGGCUUAACCCUUGCAUGAUUAGCACUUAAUGAUAAGCGAUACGAUCAUUCUCGUUAUAUGUAUUGCGUUGAUUUUCUCAUGGUGUU